rnacentral:sRNA from 1 species
GCCAGGUGCGGUGGCACACACCUGUAAUCCCUGCAUCUCAGGAGUCUGAGGCAGGAGGAUUGUGAGCUCAAAGCCAGUCUCAGCAAUUUAACGAGGCUCUAAGCAACUCAGUGAGACCCUGUCUCUA